AGGGAGUGGAACCGGCAAUUGGAAAGACUUCUCUGAAACUGGGCCUAGAGUCAUCCUCAGGUCUUGCCAACCAUUUUGAAAAUACAGAAGCUCCUGAGCUGCUGGCACCCGCAUCAUCUCGUAUCCUCACUGGCCAGUUCUGUUCACCGUCAGUACUCACAAAUCUUUCCCGUGUCAUUUCAAGGCUUGAGUUUUUCCAGUUUGAUGCCUGUGAAUAAUGGUGAUGGUUUACUAUGAUCCCAAUUUCAAGAGGCCAUUAGCAAU
rnacentral:lncRNA from 1 species